rnacentral:tRNA from 1 species
GGAGACGUGGGUGAGUGGCUGAAACCAGCGGUUUGCUAAACCGCCGUAUGGAUAAAUUCCGUACCGAGGGUUCGAAUCCCUCCGUCUCCG